rnacentral:misc_RNA from 1 species
CCUCCUUUCUAAGGAUGAGUGAAAGUAAAAUUUCACUCUAAAUAAUAUACAUCGGUAAUGUUGACCGUCCUCAUUUCUCUUCUUAAAGUAAUGUUUCCUUCUUGUAGGGCCGGUAGCUCAGUUGGUUAGAGCACACCCUUGAUAAGGGUGGGGUCGAAAGUUCGAGUCUUUCUCGGCCCACCAAAAACUCAAUGGGGGAUUAGCUCAUCUGGGAGAGCGCCUGAUUUGCAUUCAGGAGGUAGCAGGUUCGAUCCCUGUAUCCUCCACCAGGAAACAUUUAGUUAUUAAAACUGUAAAUAAAAAUAAUUUAUAUCAAUAUCUAUAUCCGAACAUUAAAAGUUAUUAUUUAAUGUUCAAAAUAAAAAUUUGAUCACAACAUAGAAAAAUUUUCUGCAAAAUGAAUUUUUUUCUGUGCAUAAAUCAAGCGUUUAAGGGCGUGUAGUGGAUGCCUUGGCACUGAAAGCCGAUGAAGGACGUGAUAUACUGCGAUAAGUUUCGGGGAGCUGUAUGUAAGCUUUGAUCCGAAGAUUCCGAAUG